AUUGAACGCUGGCGGCAGGCUUAACACAUGCAAGUCGAGCGGUAACAGAGAGAAGCUUGCUUCUCUGCUGACGAGCGGCGGACGGGUGAGUAAUGCCUAGGAAUCUGCCUAGUAGUGGGGGAUAACUUGCCGAAAGGUAAGCUAAUACCGCAUACGUCCUACGGGAGAAAGGAGGGGACCUUCGGGCCUUUCGCUAUUAGAUGAGCCUAGGUCGGAUUAGUUAGUUGGUGAGGUAAUGGCUCACCAAGACCGCGAUCCGUAACUGGUCUGAGAGGAUGAUCAGUCACACUGGAGCUGAGACACGGUCCAGACUCCUACGGGAGGCAGCAGUGGGGAAUAUUGGACAAUGGGGGGAACCCUGAUCCAGCCAUGCCGCGUGUGUGAAGAAGGUCUUAGGAUUGUAAAGCACUUUAAGUUGGGAGGAAGAGCAGUUAACUAAUAUUUGACUGUUUUGACGUUACCGACAGAAUAAGCACCGGCUAACUUCGUG
rnacentral:rRNA from 1 species